AGCUGCUAAUUACAAGCUGCGCGUUAGCUAGCUCUGUGUAUUUUGCAUACCGUGUUCCCUUUGACACAGCCUCAUCUACAAGCAUGAUCAGUCUGACAUUAGAAGAGCAUAUUUCGUGAUUCACGAAUAUGAGCCAAAACAAAAUUGCCCUGAAGUAAAUGUCCAUAUCGUCAUGAAAGCUUCAUGGCUAGUGUUUGGAUCAGUGAUCGUCAACAUCAAGCGGCUUUCACAACAGUGUGUUUGCGUUUUGUGUUAGUGCUAGACUGCUACGGUUCUCUUUCACAUAUACUGUAUUUGACCGUGACCUUUUAUAUACUAUACUUUAUACUAAUAUACUUUUUUAUAUUUGUUUUCGCAAGAUGUUGACAGACACCUCACAGCAGGAGACCGUGGCCAGUGUAGACACUGUGGAGAGUGUCGAUACUGGGGAUCAGCCCUUGCCCUCCUCCACUUCUGACGCUGGGACACAAUGUUUUUUGAAGCCCCCCCCGAUGGUCUCACGCUGUGCAGGUUAACCUGAAGCCCAAGAUGGUUAGCGUGGGCACACAGACUUCAAUCAGCCCACAAACCUCCACUCCCCUCGCUAGUCCUGACCAGACAGUUGACGACGACGAUGAUGAUAAUGCCACUGUCAUCAGUGACUUGUCGUGGGUGCCCGAAGAGCCGAUGGAUGAGGAGGAAUUGUUUGAUGAGGAGCCACCUUACACGUGUGACCCCCACCACAAUUGCAUUGACAAAUUCAUUGUUUGCCAAGAGGAGCUGAUGGGCCUUUUUGCCAUCUGUCCGGCCUGUUGUGUGUUGGGCAAAAUAACCUGCUGAGUACAUCACAUGUACAUUAUAAAUAUAGCUAACUCCUACCCUAGCUUAAUGAGCACAUCACAUGGCAGUCACCUUAUAAUAUAGUCAACUUUUAACACAUAACACAUACAUGAGAAUAUAGUCAGGUCAGGGCCGGAGCCAGGGCCCCAUUUCUCCUCCCGGCAGAUGGUAGACACUCAGACAAUGCACCAGUCAUCCUCAAGAACGGGAGGGCCACAACAGGAGAUGCUCU
ensembl:lncRNA